UGACCAUAUAGCAUUGAAAUACUGGUUUAUAUGCAAUCCCGAAAGUUAAGCAACAUUGAGCCUGGUCAGUACCUAGAUGGGUGACUGCUUGGGAAUACCAGGCGAUGUA